rnacentral:lncRNA from 1 species
AAUCUGAUUUCUAUGGCUUCUUCUUUGCUUGAAAUGUGGCUAUUGUACAUAUCACGCUCAUCUCUGCAAAUGAAUUAGAUAUUCCAAUUUCUCGCACUACUCUCAAAAUCAAUUUUCAUUUCAAUUAUAAGUAGACACUUAAAACAAGGUAAUCUCACAAAAUAAUUCCAUUAAAAUAAUCUCAUCAAAGUUGAAACUAGAAAGAUUAGAAAUUGAAAAGUAAGAUGAAAUCAAACUAGGUUGGAUCUGUUGAGGGAUUUGAAACUAGAAAAGAUUAGAAAUUGGGCUAUCAUUUCUUUCGUGGAUUGCAAUUUCACCCACCACCGAGCCGUGAAUCGCAGCUUCGCUCUUCUUGCCGUCAUGCUAGCCGCACUGCUUACUCGUUAAGUUCCUUUCU